UACGUAGGGGGCCAGCGUUGUCCGAAGUUACUGGGCGUAAAGAGCGCGUAGGCGGGCCCUUAAGUGGGGGGUGAAAUUCUGAGGCUCAACCUCGGAACUGCCUCUCAUACUGGGGGCCUUGAGUGCGGGAGAGGCGAGUGGAAUGGUCGGUGUAGGCGGUGAAAUGCGUAGAUAUCGAUCGGAACACCCAUUGCGAAGGCAGCUUACUACGCCUAUAUUGACGCUGAGGCACGAAAGCGUGGGGAUCAAACAGG
rnacentral:rRNA from 1 species